AUUGAACGCUGGCGGCAGGCUUAACACAUGCAAGUCGAGCGGGGUGAUGGUGCUUGCGCUAUCACUUAGCGGCGGACGGGUGAGUAAUGCUUAGGAAUCUGCCUAUUAGUGGGGGACAACAUCUCGAAAGGGAUGCUAAUACCGCAUACGUCCUACGGGAGAAAGCAGGGGAUCACUUGUGACCUUGCGCUAAUAGAUGAGCCUAAGUCGGAUUAGCUAGUUGGUGGGGUAAAGGCCUACCAAGGCGACGAGCUGUAGCGGGUCUGAGAGGAUGAUCCGCCACACUGGGACUGGAACACGGCCCAGACUCCUACGGGAGGCAGCAGUGGGGAAUAUUGGACAAUGGGCGGAAGCCUGAUCCAGCCAUGCCGCGUGUGUGAAGAAGGCCUUAUGGUUGUAAAGCACUUUAAGCGAGGAGGAGGCUACUUUAGUUAAUACCUAGAGAUAGUGGACGUUACUCGCAGAAUAAGCACCGGCUAACUCUGUGCCAGCCGCCGCGGUAA
rnacentral:rRNA from 1 species